GACGAACGCUGGCGGCGUGCUUAACACAUGCAAGUCGAACGCUGAAGCUCAGCUUUUGUUGGGUGGAUGAGUGGCGAACGGGUGAGUAACACGUGAGUAACCUGCCCCCUUCUUUGGGAUAACGCCCGGAAACGGGUGCUAAUACUGGAUAUUCACUGGUCUUCGCAUGGGGGUUGGUGGAAAGGGUUUUUCUGGUGGGGGAUGGGCUCGCGGCCUAUCAGCUUGUUGGUGGGGUGAUGGCCUACCAAGGCUUUGACCGGUAGCCGGCCUGAGAGGGUGACCGGUCACAUUGGGACUGAGAUACGGCCCAGACUCCUACGGGAGGCAGCAGUGGGGAAUAUUGCACAAUGGGCGCAAGCCUGAUGCAGCGACGCCGCGUGAGGGAUGGAGGCCUUCGGGUUGUGAACCUCUUUCGCUCAUGGUCAAGCCGCAACAAUGGUUGUGGUGAGGGUAGUGGGUAAAGAAGCGCCGGCUAACUACGUG
rnacentral:rRNA from 1 species